CGCCACGCGGAGGAGGCAGUCCGAUUACCAAAGCGCGAAGUGUACUUUGUCCACGUGGGGAGAGAGCACUCUGUGAGAGCAUUUUGGCCUCAGUAUGGAAAAGUGGAUUCCUGAAGUCUACACGGUUCAGCAGCUGUGGUCAAGAGGCCACCAGAGACAAGGUCUCUCUCAGGACAACUACGGCACUACACCAUCUAGCUGGCGCUUCUCCUAGCUUAUACUCCAGGUUCAACUCACCUGCCCUGGAGGGGGCAGAGCUUUAUGCCACCCAUCAGUCAUUCAGAACUCAGCAGAAGAGAACAAGAGACUGUGAGCACUUGGAGCUGGGAGUCCAGGACAGACAGCAAAGUACAGAGCCCACAAAGAUGGAGGGACUAAGAAAAAAAACUCACCUCUUUCACAAACUGUUCAAGCAGAUUAGAGGCCAAUGUCUACGCCCUUACCU